GCUUGUCUCAAAGAUUAAGCCAUGCAUGUCUAAGUGUAAAUAAGUCUAUACUGUGAAACUGCGAAUGGCUCAUUAAAUCAGUUAUCGUUUAUUUGAUGAUCUCUUACUACUUGGAUAACCGUAGUAAUUCUAGAGCUAAUACAUGCGUCAAACCUCGACUUCUGGGAGAGGUGUAUUUAUUAGAUGGAAACCAAUGCGGGGCAACCCGGUUCAUGGUGAUUCAUAAUAACUUUCGGAUCGACCUUUCGGUCGAUGCAUCAUUCAAGUUUCUGCCCUAUCAGUUGUGGAUGGUAGGGUAUUGGCCUACCAUGACUUUAACGGGUAACGGAGAAUUAGGGUUCGAUUCCGGAGAGGGAGCCUGAGAAACGGCUACCACAUCCAAGGAAGGCAGCAGG
rnacentral:rRNA from 1 species